CGUAGGCGUGCCGUUAAGUCAGGGGUGAAAGCUCCGGGCUCAACCCGGAAACUGCCGUUGAUACUAUUUAUCUUGAAUUCUGUUGAGGUGGGCGGAAUACAUCAUGUAGCGGUGAAAUGCUUAGAUAUGAUGUAGAACACCGAUUGCGAAGGCAGCUCACUAAGCAGACAUUGACGCUGAGGCACGAAAGCGUGGGGAUCAAACAG
rnacentral:rRNA from 1 species